AUUGAACGCUGGCGGCAUGCUUUACACAUGCAAGUCGAACGGUAACAGGCCUUCGGGCGCUGACGAGCGGCGAACGGGUGAGUAAUGCAUCGGAACGUGCCCGGUAGUGGGGGAUAACUGCUCGAAAGAGCAGCUAAUACCGCAUACGACCUGAGGGUGAAAGGGGGGGAUCGCAAGACCUCUCGCUAUCGGAGCGGCCGAUGUCGGAUUAGCUAGUUGGUGGGGUAAAGGCCCACCAAGGCAACGAUCCGUAGCUGGUCUGAGAGGACGACCAGCCACACUGUGGCGAAGACACGGCCCAGACUCCGACGGGAGGCAGCAGUAGGGAAUUUUGGACAAUGGACGCAACUCUGAUCCAGCCAUGCCGCGUGCGGGAAGAAGGCCUUCGGGUUGUAAACCGCUUUUGUCAGGGAAGAAAUCUUCUGGGCUAAUACCCUGGGAGGAUGACGGUACCUGAAGAAUAAGCACCGGCUAACUACGUGCCAGCCGCCGCCGUAAGAC
rnacentral:rRNA from 1 species